UUUAAUAAAUAUUUAAAUUGUGCUGAAAAUUAAAUAAAAUCAAAUCCCAGACGAAUUAUCGGGAUUCAUUUAAUAAGUGUUUAGUUAUUUUAUGCCAGUGCCACGUGCCAGUGCGGCUAGUACCAAAUUAUCACCCUAUUAUGCAACCGGCUAUCUGGAGGCCGAAAUGGAUGAAAUAUGGGAAUUAACUAGUGCAGAGAUUCGACGCGGGAUCGCAAUCUUUUGAUAAAUAUUUUUGGAUUCGACGACAAGCCCCCUUUUCGCUACACGGAGAGAAAACUCCGGCGAAUUAUUUAUAAAUUUGUAACUAUAAGAAGUGCAAUUAUGUGAAUAUUGGCCUGCUGAAUUUUAUUCAAAGCUCAAAUCCCUUUUGUUAAUUAUGAAAUUAUUCUGCGGAAAGAAAGAAUAUUGUAUCUUAAUUCGAAUUUUGCACACCCUUCAGUUUUUUUUUAA